rnacentral:rRNA from 1 species
CUGCUCCACCACGACGAUUCCUGUGCGCGCGCGCAUGUGCGCUUGUCGUAACAGUGCUCGUGUUGGCUGCCGGUACCGCUCGCCGCUGGGCUUCGGCCUGCUUUUGAUGAGGAGGCUACCGCCACUGUGGUGGCUGCGGCUCAGGAGGCUGCUCAGGGGCGUAGUCGGCGCCUCCGGGGGGGCGCGGUUGGGGUAGGACUGCGCGGAGAGGCACAGCGCCUUAGGCUCGGGCGAGAGACGGCGGUGGCGCCGCGGACCCCAGACGGAGGAGGCGAAGCGGACCCUCAGCCGGCGGCCAAGGGAGCAGCCGCGGCAGCAACCUAUACCUUUUCCAAACCAGUGAUGUUUUCCCAAAUUUCCGAGUAAACGACUGCGACGGAGAAGACGAUUCUAUAAACGACAAGAACGGCCGCAAGUUUCGAACCAAAGAACGAGAAACUCUUUCGAUGCACCGUUUCUACUGCAAUAAUUGCGUCCUCAACGUCCGACAACGUGACCGGAACGAAACUCAAAAGGUCCACGUGGCGUUUGAGACUAAGUCUCGACAGACCGGAAACCUUGAAAGAGCAUGUAGUAUCUUUUCGAGUUAUCCGUCGUUGGACGCGAACGCGAUGGCAGUCGACGACCGGACUUCCUACACUUCCGACCGGGCUCACAAGAAGGGGGGAAGUGCGAAUUGUACGGCGUGCUACGCUACCUUCCAAAGAGAAGCAAAGUUUUGAAAAACAGUUUCAAGGCUCUUUCGACUUCCUGGACCCCCGUACUAUGAAACUAUAGACAGGUACGUUUACGUAGCUCGACUCGAAAAAACAAAGGUCAAAUCACAUAGCGCUUCCUACUAGUAAGAUGAGACGGAAACUUGCAAAGCGUUCAAUGGGAGGUCUUCCUUUCGUCGAAUCGACCACAGGUUGGACUACUUAUUAGCACGUAUUGGACCCGUCGUCUAACGGACUUGGAAACACUAUCAGGAAACGAUCGCUUAAGAACAUAUACUGCCUGCCCAUGAGUCAUUACAAAGUAGUCCAGAGUCUUAUUCUGAUCUGACUAUUAAAAGUUCCUAACAGAAAAAUAAAUUUUAAAAGAGUUCUCAUG